AGAUGGCGACCGGCGCACGGGUGAGUAACACGUAUCCAACCUGCCGAUAACUCGGGGAUAGCCUUUCGAAGGAAAGAUUAAUACCCGAUGGUAUAAUCAGACCGCAUGGUCUUGUUAUUAAAGAAUUUCGGUUAUCGAUGGGGAUGCGUUCCAUUAGGCAGUUGGUGAGGUAACGGCUCACCAAACCUUCGAUGGAUAGGGGUUCUGAGAGGAAGGUCCCCCACAUUGGAACUGAGACACGGUCCAA
rnacentral:rRNA from 1 species